rnacentral:rRNA from 1 species
UACGAAGGGGGCUAGCGUUGCUCGGAAUCACUGGGCGUAAAGCGCACGUAGGCGGACUCUUAAGUCGGGUGGUGAAAUCCUGGAGCUCAACUCCAGAACUGCCUUCGAUACUGAGAGUCUCGAGUCCGGGAGAGGUGAGUGGAACUGCGAGUGUAGAGGUGAAAUUCGUAGAUAUUCGCAAGAACACCAGUGGCGAAGGCGGCUCACUGGCCCGGUACUGACGCUGAGGUGCGAAAGCGUGGGGAGCAAACAGG